AUUGAACGCUGGCGGCAGGCCUAACACAUGCAAGUCGAGCGGAUGAAGGGAGCUUGCUCCUGGAUUCAGCGGCGGACGGGUGAGUAAUGCCUAGGAAUCUGCCUGGUAGUGGGGGAUAACGUCCGGAAACGGGCGCUAAUACCGCAUACGUCCUGAGGGAGAAAGGGGGGGAUCUUCGGACCUCACGCUAUCAGAUGAGCCUAGGUCGGAUUAGCUAGUUGGUGGGGUAAAGGCCUACCAAGGCGACGAUCCGUAACUGGUCUGAGAGGAUGAUCAGUCACACUGGAACUGAGACACGGUCCAGACUCCUACGGGAGGCAGCAGUGGGGAAUAUUAGACAAUGGGCGAAAGCCUGAUCCAGCCAUGCCGCGUGUGUGAAGAAGGUCUUCGGAUUGUAAAGCACUUUAAGUUGGGAGGAAGGGCAGUAAGUUAAUACCUUGCUGUUUUGACGUUACCAACAGAAUAAGCACCGGCUAACUUCGUG
rnacentral:rRNA from 1 species